UUGUUUUCACGCAUUAAGCUCAGGAAUACGUUUAUUUGCUAAUAUGAUGGCCGGUCAUAGUUCAGUAAAGAUUUUAAGUGGGUUCGCUUGGACUAUGCUAUGUAUGAAUGAUCUUUUCUAUUUCAUAGGGGAUCCUGGUCCUUUAUUUAUAGUUCUAGCAUUAACCGGUUUGGAAUUAGGUGUAGCUAUAUCACAAGCUCAUGUUUCUACGAUCUCAAUCUGUAUUUACUUGAAUGAUGCUACAAAUCUCCAUCAAAGUGGUUAUUUAUUUAUAAUUGAACAAAAGCGAGGAGCGAGUGAGUUCAGUAAAGUUCACUUGGACUAUGCUAUGUAUGAAUGAUCUUUUCUAUUUCAUAGGGGAUCCUAGUACUUUAUUUAUAGUUCUAACAUUAACCGGUUUGGAAUUAGGUGUAGCUAUAUCACAAGCUCAUGUUUCUACGAUCACAAUCUGUAUGUACUUGAAUGAUGCUACAAAUCUCCAUCAAAGUGGUUAUUUAUUUAUAAUUGAACAAAAGCGAGGAGCGAGUUUAGAAGCGAAAGGUAAGAGCGAAGCCAACACCCGCCUCCCGCCAUCCAUAAAGAAGUAGAAGUCGUUUGACCUAG
rnacentral:lncRNA from 1 species